rnacentral:rRNA from 1 species
UACGGGGGGGGCAAGCGUUGUUCGGAAUUACUGGGCGUAAAGGGCUCGUAGGUGGCCAACUAAGUCAGACGUGAAAUCCCUCGGCUUAACCGGGGAACUGCGUCUGAUACUGGAUGGCCUGAGUUUGGGAGAGGGACGCGGAAUUCCAGGUGUAGCGGUGAAAUGCGUAGAUAUCUGGAGGAACACCGGUGGCGAAGGCGGCGUCCUGGACCAACACUGACACUGAGGAGCGAAAGCCAGGGGAGCAAACGGG